rnacentral:rRNA from 1 species
AGAGUUUGAUCCUGGCUCAGGACGAACGCUGGCGGCGUGCCUAAUACAUGCAAGUCGAACGCUUCUUUUUCCACCGGAGCUUGCUCCACCGGAAAAAGAGGAGUGGCGAACGGGUGAGUAACACGUGGGUAACCUGCCCAUCAGAAGGGGAUAACACUUGGAAACAGGUGCUAAUACCGUAUAACAAUCAAAACCGCAUGGUUUUGAUUUGAAAGGCGCUUUCGGGUGUCGCUGAUGGAUGGACCCGCGGUGCAUUAGCUAGUUGGUGAGGUAACGGCUCACCAAGGCCACGAUGCAUAGCCGACCUGAGAGGGUGAUCGGCCACAUUGGGACUGAGACACGGCCCAAACUCCUACGGGAGGCAGCAGUAGGGAAUCUUCGGCAAUGGACGAAAGUCUGACCGAGCAACGCCGCGUGAGUGAAGAAGGUUUUCGGAUCGUAAAACUCUGUUGUUAGAGAAGAACAAGGAUGAGAGUAACUGUUCAUCCCUUGACGGUAUCUAACCAGAAAGCCACGGCUAACUACGUGCCAGCAGCCGCGGUAAUACGUAGGUGGCAAGCGUUGUCCGGAUUUAUUGGGCGUAAAGCGAGCGCAGGCGGUUUCUUAAGUCUGAUGUGAAAGCCCCCGGCUCAACCGGGGAGGGUCAUUGGAAACUGGGAGACUUGAGUGCAGAAGAGGAGAGUGGAAUUCCAUGUGUAGCGGUGAAAUGCGUAGAUAUAUGGAGGAACACCAGUGGCGAAGGCGGCUCUCUGGUCUGUAACUGACGCUGAGGCUCGAAAGCGUGGGGAGCAAACAGGAUUAGAUACCCUGGUAGUCCACGCCGUAAACGAUGAGUGCUAAGUGUUGGAGGGUUUCCGCCCUUCAGUGCUGCAGCUAACGCAUUAAGCACUCCGCCUGGGGAGUACGACCGCAAGGUUGAAACUCAAAGGAAUUGACGGGGGCCCGCACAAGCGGUGGAGCAUGUGGUUUAAUUCGAAGCAACGCGAAGAACCUUA